UACGGGGGGGGCAAGCGUUGUUCGGAAUUACUGGGCGUAAAGGGCUCGUAGGCGGCCAACUAAGUCAGACGUGAAAUCCCCGGGCUCAACCCGGGAACUGCGUCCGAUACUGGUAGGCUUGAAUUCGGGAGAGGGAUGCGGAAUUCCAGGUGUAGCGGUGGAAUGCGCAGAUAUCAGGAAGAACACCGGUGGCGAAGGCGGCUCUCUGGGCCUUACCUGACGCUGAGGAGCGAAAGCGUGGGUAGCGAACAGG
rnacentral:rRNA from 1 species